rnacentral:tRNA from 3 species
GCGCCAGUAGCUCAAGGGAUCGAGCAUGGAUUUACUAAAUCCAAGAUGGUAGUUCGAAUCUACCCUGGCGCA